rnacentral:rRNA from 1 species
UACAGAGGGGGCAAGCGUUGUUCGGAAUUACUGGGCGUAAAGGGCGCGUAGGCGGCCUGUUAAGUCGAACGUGAAAUCCCCGGGCUCAACCCGGGAACUGCGUCCGAUACUGGCAGGCUUGAAUCCGGGAGAGGGAUGCGGAAUUCCAGGUGUAGCGGUGAAAUGCGUAGAUAUCUGGAGGAGCACCGGUGGCGAAGGCGGCAUCCUGGACCGGUAUUGACGCUGAGGCGCGAAAGCCAGGGGAGCAAACGGG